rnacentral:ncRNA from 2 species
AUAGAACAAGGGAAUGAAGUACUCCCGAAGUGAAAAACACUUAAACCGCUUAUUAAGCUGAUGACUUCUGCGAUGAA